rnacentral:lncRNA from 1 species
UAUAUAAUAAUUUUGGUCUAAAAUAUAUAUAAAAAAAUCCUACCAAUAAAUAAACCCUAAAUCAUUUAGGUUAAAUGUUCAAAAGAAAUUGGGGACUUGGAGGCUGGAGUUGCCGACAGCAUAAAUUGGGGAUUUAUAGUUCAACAUUAAUGACAGUGAGUUUUAUUUUGUUUAUAAUCCCGAUGAAUUUUAUUGUUCUGUUCUACUAUUCAUUUUCCCCAAAUAUUUCCCCAAGGUCGAUCUCCUUCUCGCCGGAUUUUUCGGAACUCUCCUUCUCGUCGGAUUUUUCGCAACUCUCCUAGCUUCUCACCGGAGGUAAUGUUCUUCAUUUCUUCAAUCGUUUAUUUCAAUCCAUCUUGAAAUUCAAAUCUCCUUCUCCUUCUCGUCUGGAUUGUUAGAGGGUGAUCGAUCGCCGGUCGGUCACUGAUCACCUUCAAAUCGAUGCAUCAGUGGUCCAGUAUACGAAAAUCAUACAUCAGUGAUCCAGCAUACAUCAGUGGUCCACCAAUUGUUUAUUGUUUGCUCUCCCCUUGAAUAUAAUAUCCAUGAACUUGUGUAAAUAAUGCCCAAGCGGUCCAGCAUACGAAAAUCCAAAGAGCUGAAAAAAAGAUAGAAUAGAUAAAAGAUUUGUCUGAUAACUUGAUGUUAAAAUGAUUGAAUGAUUCCUUUUUAAGUCCACCAUUAGCACUCCCAAACCUGACUAAAUCUAUGUGGAACUUUCGUCAAACAUAUAAACCCUUACUAUUAAUUGAAUAUACCAUGCCCAUUUGAGGUCCUAUCUUUCUACAAUAAUAGCUGUGAAAUAAUAAUUAUUAUUACAUUUUUUGUAUUACAAUUACCACACUAAUUUGUGGUGAUAAAUGAUUUAUAUUGUAUUGUAUUACAAUCACCUAAUUUUUCUACCAUAUAGGCUUAUUUUGUUAUUUUUAAAUUCUGAUUUUUCUUCAGAAUUUUGUAUCUGGUUUAGUUUGUGGUUUGCUAGUAUUGGACUGUGAUAGGAGGAAGGAUGGGAAUCGAUGGAGGCAGGGAAUGGAACAGUGUUUGGGCUGCUUCAGCCGUUACUUGAGGUUAAUUAAAACCCUUCAAUUUGGAAAUUUCAUUGAUAAAAAUAAUAGGUUUUGAAGCAAGGUAUUUAUAUUACCGAUUAUAAUUUUAUUGACUAAAUUACCCUUACUACUUAAAAGAAAUUACGGUUCUCUAAUUCCCUUUGAUUUCUCCAUCGGCCCCUUCCAAUUAGGUUUCAUAACCCGCCAACCGGGUACUCGGGUACCGGUUCCUCCGACUCUGAUUAGCAAUCCCCAAAGUGACAGUUGGGAGAUUGUUAUUCCCUUCCUCUGCCGGUGACUUGACGACGCCGUCCUCCAACUUGUCGGGUCCAUCUCCCAACUCCUGGAUCAACCGUCGCGUCUCCUCCAACAUCGCGUUCUGGUAAGUCUCCCUAUCAUUUCCAUCCUCCAUAAGAUUACCCUUGACCUCAAGGUUAAUGGUUGGAAAUAACCUUGACAAGGUUACCUUGUCUUCCCAUGAGCUCUUUUCCUCUUCCAGACCAUGCCAUUUAAUUCGUAUUUGCUCUACAGGCUUCCCGUCGACCAGCAGCGUCCUCUCCUCCAGCACCUCCUCCGGAAAAAUAACGGGCUAGUUAUUCACAGCUAAAUCUGGUAAGCAAUUGAAUUUCUUUGGGGGAAGCUCACCCUUGUAUAAUUUGAGCACUGAAAUAUGAAAAAUUGGGUGUAUAGCACUGUUAGUAGGCAAUGUAAUUUUAUAGGCAAUUGUACUGAUUUUCUUUUCGACUUGAAAUGACCCUAAAUAUCGGGGAGAUAGCUUGUGGUGAAAUCUGUAUGCUACAGACAUUUGCCGAUAGGGUUUCAACUUGACAAAAACCCAAUCUAUGUGAGUUCUGUGUUGAUUCGCUUGCCUUUUCAUUGCUUCUUUAGCCUUUUCUAAGUUGAUCUUGAUCAGCUCCACAACUUCAGAUCUCCUGUCCAGCUCUUCUUUUACCGAUAUCUCUGAGAUUUCUUCUCUUGGAAGCUCAGUGAAUGUGUUGACUUCUCUAUCAUAUAAUGCCAUAAAUGGUGUCAUGCCAAUAGAUAUAUUGAAUGUGGAAUUAUGCCACAACUCAGCCUAUGGUAGCAUCUCUAACCACUUCCUUGGUUUCUCAUAAGCCACUGACCUUAAGAACAUUUCAAUGCCUCUAUUGGUUACUUCAGUUUGUCCACGGUCUCCGGAUGGUAGGCAGUUGAUAAUUUCAAGGUUGUUCCACUCAACCUAUGAAUUUCCCUCCAAAAGCUACUUGUGAAGACCUUGUCCCUGUCAGAAAUAAUUGUAGAAGGUACCCCAUGCAAUUUUAUUAUAUUAUCAACAAAAAAUUUAGAAACCAUUUUGGAGGUGUAACCAGUUGGUAAGGCCCCAAGGUGACAGAACUUAGUUAAUCUGUCCACAACUACCACAAUUACAGAUUCGCCUUUGAUACAUGGUAGAUGGGUGAUAAAGUCUGUGGAUAUGUCUUUCCAAACUUUGUUAGGAGUUGGUAGUGGCAUUAGGAGACCUUGUGGCUUAGAGGUUUGAGAUUUCAUCAUUUGACAAACCAUACAUGUUUGCACAUAUUUUUGAAUUCUUUUGCUCAUGCUCCUCCACCAGAAAAGUUGCUUUAUCCUCUUGCUUGUUCUUUCCACCCCCGAGUGACCCCCUAUUGGGUUGUCAUGGUACUCCCUCAAGAUAUUAGAAAUUAAUAUGGAUUCUUGGUUUAAAACAUACCUCUUGUUGUAAAAAAUCCUCCCUUCUAUUGCUUCAAACUAAUUGUUCCUUUCCAAGCCUUGUUCAAUAUUGUUUCUAAGCUUCAAUAGCUCAAUGUUAGACUCUUGUUCUUUUACUACUUCAACCAGAUUAUUUAGCACCUUAGAUAGGCUGAGUAUAGAGCCAUCUUGAUUAAUCUGUUCUUCAAACUCUCUAGAUAAGGCAUCAACAACCUUGUUUUCCUUUCCCGGCCUGUAUAGUAUAGAAUAUUUAUACCCAAGUAAUUUGCAGAGAAAUUUCUGUUGCUCUGGAGUUUGAAUGAUCUGAGAUACCAUAUUUUGAUACUAUGGUGAUUAGUGUGAAUUAUAAAUUGGUGGCCUAAGAGAUAGUGUCUCCACUUUCCUAUAGCUUGAGUGAUUGCAUACAUUUAUUUCGCAUAAGUUGAAGCUAGCAUCAUUCUCCCUGUUAACUUGGCACUAUAGUAUGCAAUAGGAUGUCCAUUCUGACUCAAAACAGCCCCAAUUCCCCCUUGACUAGCAUCUGUUUCAACGACGAAUUCUUGAGUGAAAUCUGGAUGACUAAGAACCGGUGCUUGUGUUAGAGCUUCCUUUAGUAUUUUCAUACUGUUUGUUGCUGCCUCAGACUACAGAAAAUUAUCAUUCUUUAGUAAAUCAGUUAGUGGGGCAGCCAAGUGAGCAUAAUUCUUUACGAACUUUCUAUAAUAGCCCGAUAUUCCCAAAAAUCCUCUUAAGCCCUUGAUAGAUUUUGGAGUGGGCCAAGCUUGGAUUGCUUUCACUUUUUCAGGAUCUGGUUGGACCCCCAUUCCUGAGAUAAUAUGUCCCAAAAAUUGCAAUUUACUCCUCCCAAAUGAGCAUUUUGACUUUUUUGCAAACAGUGAAUUAUUCCUUAACACCAUCAAAACUUCUUCCAAGUGCUUGAUAUGGCUAUCCAUGGUAGGGCUGAAAAUCAAGAUGUCAUUGAAAAAUAUUAGUACAUAUUUUUUCAAUAAAGGUCUGAAAAUUCUGUUCAUUGUCACUUGAAAGGUGGCCGGGGCAUUUGUUAACCCAAAUAGCAUUACAAGGAAUUCGUAAUGUCCUUGGUGGGUUCUGAAAGCUAUUUUCUCAAUGUUCUUUGGAUUUAUUAGUAUUUGAUGAAUUGAUGGUACCCGGAUCUUAAAUCCAAUUUAGAAAAAAAAUUUGCACCCUUGAGCUCAGCUAGUAACUCAUCUACUGUAAGGAUGGGGAAUUUGUCUUUGAUGGUGAUAGAGUUCAAUGCUCUAUAAUCCACACAGAGUCUCCAUGAUCCGUCUUUUUUCUUUACCAACAGUAUAGGUGAAGAUUAAGGGCUGCAACUCUCCCUAAUGAUGCCCUGUUGAAGCAUAUCCUGCACCAUCCUCUCUAUUUCAUCUUUCUGAAAUUGUGCAUGUCUGUAUGGUCUUAUACUGACUGGUGGAGCUGCUGGUUGUAGGUGUAUUUUAUGAUUUUGGCUUCUAGGUGGUGGAAGUCCCAUUGGUUCUUCAAAAACAUCUUGAAAUUCGCUAAUUUUCAGCUCUAACUCCUUAUUUCUUUGUUGUUAUGUUUCAGCAAUUAAUACUUCCUUAGAAUUCUCCACAUAUUGUAAUCUACAGAAAAAAGCAUUAACUGAUGUGGCUGCCAAGUUUUUUAGUUCGUUUGUAGAGUAAGGCUCAUCCGAGACUAGUGUUUCACCCAUCCAUCUGAUCCAUUUCCCCUGCCAAUCAAAUUCUAUUGUCAUGUCAGUGUAAUCAGAUAGUACCUUUUCCACAGAUUUAAACCAUUGUAUUCCCAGCACUAGGUUGGCUCCUUCUAAAUCUAGCAUAAACAAAUCUACUAACAUGCUGACCCCUUGAAUAUUCAAUUGCACUUCCUUGCAAAUUUUGUCACACCUUAGAUAUGCCCCACUGCCUGUAGAUACUAAAAAUGAGGGAAUAGGCGUUACUGGAAGUUUCAAGAAUUCAGCCACUCCACAUUGCAAGAAGUUAUGUGUUGACCCAUAGUCCAUUAAUACAGAUACUCUGCAAUUACUAAUAACUGCCGUUAAUUUAAGAAUUUCGGGACUGACUUGGCCCUCUAGAGCAUGCAUACCAAUAUGUGUAGUUUCAGCUCUAAUUUCCUCCACAGCAUCAACAAAAUUUUCUUCUUCCUCCAGUGGAUCAGUAUACUCAGAAAAACAAUUGCCAUUUGCGGAUAAUAAAAAUAGCCUGCCCUUGCAUUUAUGGCCCUUUUCCCAUUUUUCAAUACAGUUGAAGCAUUCAUUUUUAGACCUUUUAACUUUCAUCUCUGCUGGUGUUAACUUCUGCCUAACCAUCGGGUUUCUAGAAGCAGAUGCAGUGUUAGAAGGUAGAGGUUUGCCCACUGCUGAAUUUCUGUGAAACAGAAUUUUGUGCUGUAUAUGAUAUUAUUAUUUGGCUUGGACAGAAUCUAUCCACAUCAGAACCCAAAUCCACCUUUUCAUAUAAUUGUGCUAACGCAAAGGCUUCUACCAAACUGUUUGGCUUAGCUUUGAUCACGUCUUUUUGGAUGUCAUCCUUCAGUCCUGACAUAAAUAUCUCCUUGAUCACCAGAGGAUUAACAUCAUCCACCUUAUUGACCAUCGCUUCAAAUUUGUGCUGAUAUUCUUUCACCGUUCCUGUCUGAAUUAACUUGCUCAAUCGCCCAGCUGGAAUUUCAUAAGCCGAAGUUCCAAACCUCGUUAUGAUGUCAUAUACAAAAUCAGACCAUGAUUUAAUUGCGUUGUUUCUAUCUGCCCAUAAUAAUCAUUCUAGUGCCUCUCCCUCCAUAUUGAAGGUUGCCACUGUAAUUCUCUCUUCAUCCGGAAUGUUGUGGUAUCUUAGGUAUUUCUUUGCUUUGUAGACCCAACUUUGGACAUUAGACCCAUCAAAUUUUGGCAUAUCCGUUCUAACUGAUUUUUUAUACUCUGGUUUGGACUCUUCACUAUAUCUCCCUUUAUUUGUUUUUUUGUUUAAGAUCCUCCCUAGAGCUUCGGCCAUUUGAGCUAGAGUUUGCUCCAUCUUGCUAAGUCUCUCAUCUUCGAUAGCCUGUUUUGCUUGAACCCUUUUUAUUUGUAAGUCCAUACUUUCAGCUAUGUUAACUAUCUGGAAUAGUAAACUCUUAGAAUCAACAAUAAUUUAUAGUGAUUCAAGGAUAGAUAUUUGCCUGUUUGGGAUCUAGUUGGGGCCUAGAACAUGCCCUGAGAGAUUUUUGUGUGUGUUUAUGAUACACAAUUCCUUCUUCAGAUCUCCAAGAUGCAUGAUGUGGAUCUGAAAUAUAAUAUUACUCAGAUAUGGCUAUGCAAUUUUUUUUUUAAAGAAAAAUGCGUUCCUUGUUUGGAUCUGUUAAGUACAGAACAUGCUUUUUAUGAGUUUUUUUUUGUAUUUUUUUUUAUAGAAGAACGACUCCUUCUGCAGAUCUUCAGCAAAUCCAGCAAUCCUGUAGCUGUUGGUUGAUGAAGCACACGCCGGCGAGAGGGAUUUGAAAGCACCAGUGAUAGGAGGAAGGAUGGGAAUCGAUGGAGGCAGGGAAUUGAGCAGUGUCUGGGCUGCUUCAGUCGUUACUUGAGGUUAAUUAAAACCCUUCAAUUUGGAAAUUUCAUUGAUAAAAAUAAUAGGUUUUGAAGCAAGGUAUUUAUAUUAUCUAUUACAAUUUUAUUGACUAAAUUACCCUUACUACUUAAAAGAAAUUACAGUUCUCUAAUUCCCUUUGAUUUCUCCAUCGGCCCCUUCCAAUUAGGUUUCAUAACCCGCCAACCUGGUACUCGGGUACCGGUUCCUCCGACUUCGAUUAGCAAUCGCCAAAGCGACAGUUGGGAGAUCGUUAUUCCCUUCCUCUGUCGGUGACUUGGUGACGCCGUCCUCCAACUCGUCGGGUCCAUCUCCCAGGUCCUGGAUCAGCCGUCGCGUCUCCUCCAAUAUCGCGUUCUGGUAAGUCUCCCUAUCAGACUGUUUUCACAUUUCUGUGUUUCUGAAUUAGUUUCAGUAUUUUGUGUAUUUUGAGAUUGAUUUGAUUUAUCUCUAUGUAUGUUUUCUUCUAUCUCUGAAUUAUUUUCAGAGUUUAGAGUUUUGGAAUUGCAGGUUUUCUACUUGGCCUGCUAUUCCUGAAUCACUUUCAGAAUCUUCUUCAUUCUGUGAACUAGACCCUUCUUGGUCUUGUUCUGAGAUUUCUAGAGUGUUUUGGGAAUGAUUUAUUCUUUUUUUCUUAUGCAAGUUAUUAUUUUCAGAAUCUAUUUCAUUAUGCGAAGCAGGCCUUUCUUAGUCUUGUUCUGAGAAGACCCCUGGACCAGUCCUUUGGCAGUUCUGUCCAAUACUUUAUUUUGCUCUUUUAAUGUGUUUUUCUUUUACUGAUGUUCUCUUAUGUUCAGAACAUCUAUAGUUAAAUCCAGUGUUUAAGGUUUCAUUUGAUUGAUUUUUUUUUAUCUCUGAAGGGUUUUUAUAUUGUUCGGAAUUUUGUUUAUUAUUGGACUGAUUUUUUAUCUCUGAAGGGUUUAUAUUAUGUUCUGAAUUAUAUUCAGUUAUGCAUAAUGAUUUUUUAUGAAUCCCUGUUUUAGUUGUCUCAGGGAUUUCUGAGUUUUUGUUUAUUUCAGACUUUGUGUUAUUUGCUGAAUUUUUAUUAAUUUUGCUUUUGAUGGAAUUUUUAUUCCUUUUUAAUUGUGUUUUUGUUUUAUCUUUAUAUUCAUCAAAAUGAAUGAUUUGAUUGUAAAUUUACAUGAUAUUAGUUCAAGUUAUAAUUUUAUUAUUUUGUUUCGUCUUCUUGUUUUCAGAUUUUAUCUUUACAUUCCCAAAUUUCCGCCGGACCAUCUCCUCAUCUAUUGUCGGCGACUUUCAUAGGUAUUUUUCUUUCUUUUUUAAAAAUCCAAAUAAAUAUGAUGUGAAUGUAAUAAAUAAAAUGCAACUCAUGAAUCCCGGCCCCAUGAAAAUCUUUUAAAAAUGCAAGCCAUGUAAUAAAUAAAAUGCAACCCAUGUAAUAAAUUUCAUUUUUCUUUCUUUCUAAAUGAAAAGAAAAUCUUUAAUUUCAUUAAAAAUCUUUAAUUUUAUAUAUCCCCAUGAAUCAGAUAAUACUAAUUUUCAUUGUUUACAAGUAGAUAGCUAUUGAUUUCAUUAAUAAAAAUAUAACUUUAGAAAAAUUCUGUCGGCAGGCCGAGCUGAGCCUGCCGAGGCCGAGCCGAACCGAGCCAAGCUUGUCGAGCCCGAGCUGAGCUGAGCCGAGCCGAGCCUUUCUUAUUAUGAUUUAUUUUUUUAUUUUUCAUGAUAUAUUUUUCAUGAAACUCAUGCGGACAUGCAACUCAUUUUUGCAUGUUUCAAUUAUUUUAUAGAAUGACCGGUAAUAAUCGAAAUUGGAUGUACAACCGACUAGAUGAGAAAAAUCAAAUUACCGAUUCAUUUCUCAAUGGUGUCGAGCGGUUUCUAAACUUUGUAUUCUCAGAGUCAAUUAUGACUCGUGAAAAUGGAAAAAUUAAAUGCCCUUGUAGUAGUAGUUGUUGUUUAAAUAAGGAAGUUAGAGAUAUAAUGACAGUUCAUCUUUACAAGUUCGGUUUUAUGAGUGAUUACACUAAUUGGGACCGACAUGGUGAACCAAGGAAAAGAGUACGUGUAGAUGAAUGCAUCACUAUAAAUGAUAUUGAAAUGGUCGAUAAUGAACGUAUUAACACUAAUCCACUUGUCGACAUGGUCCACGAUGCAAGUAGACCAUUUGAUUUACAUGAAGAAGAACCGAAUGAUGAAGCCCAAAAGUUUUACGAUUUGCUAAAUUCUGGUUAUACGAAAGUAUAUGAAGGUUGCGAUGCAUUUGUUUUGGAGAUCUUGACAGAAUUAAUGUAUUUUGGAAAUUUUGGAAAGACACACAAUUGGACGAAAAGAAGUAUUUUUUUCGAAUUGUCGUAUUGGAGUUCAUUACUUUUUCGUCACAAUGUUGAUGUAAUGCAUGUUGAGAAAAAUGUUUUUGAUGAUAUUUUCAAUACAGUAAUGAAUGUGAAGAUGAAAAACAAAAAUAAUCUCAAAAGCCGUAAAGACCUUAUAGAAUUAGAUAUUCGACAUGACUUACACCCUCGAGAGAUUGGAGAUAAAAUAUUUGUUCCUAGAGCAUCGUAUAUAUUAGAAAAACUUCAAAUAAAGAAAGUGUGUGAAUGAGUGUCUCUACUUUGUUUUCCCGAUGGUUAUGUGUCAAACAUCUCUAAAUGUGUCAAAAUCAAUGAAAAUACUAUCACGGGAAUGAAAAGUCAUGAUUGUCACGUAUUCAUACAGAGAUUAUUGUCUAUCGCAUAGACUCUAAAAUUAAGUCGAAAACCUUCAUUUCAAAAGGCAUUCUUGUCGACUCAUACACUGUUAAAUGAUAGAGGAAAAACUAUGAUGGUGAGUGAUCAUUUGUUAAUAUUUCAUAAUAUAUUUAUUUUUUCUUAAUUGUUUCAUAUUUGAUUUUCGUAAAGGCCGAAUAUGAAAAUUUGAAUAAAGAACUUCGAAGACAAGAAGAUAGUGAUUCUGAUGACGAUAGCGAAGACGAAAAUUUAUCGUCUCAAGGUUCAACUAUAUUUCAUAGUAAGCCUCUGUUUAAAAACGAUCAUAUUGGACCUUGGCUGAAAGCAUCAAAGGGAAAGAAAAAUGGCCGCAUUCUGAGAUUUAGAGUUAACAAUGACUCUAUGUUAUCAAAUAAGAGGAGAAAGAAAAUGAGCAAUGAGGAAACUAAGAAGCAUAACACUAAAGAAUUUGAAUUGACAGUUUUCAAAGCCGUCGAAAAACGAAUGGAAGCGUUCGAAAUAGAACACGAAAAACGACUUAAAAUGAUGAAACAACGGUUAUUUGACAAUAUACAUGUGAGUUUAAUAAAUGUUUUUAAAUUAAUUUUUCAAAAUAUUAAUUUUUGAAUAUCUUCAUUUAUUUUCAGGCUAAUGCUACAAGCAACGACCCCAAUCAUCCAUCAUCGAGUAAUGUUCCUGCUUCUUCUCAGUUGAACCAACUCAUUCUAUCAUCGAGAAAUUAUUGGAAAAAAGAUACUAUUUUGAAUUCGACACCUCGACCAAAAGGUAAAACUUUAGAUAUUUUAAAUAUUAUUCAACAAAAAAAAUUGUAAAACACUUAACAAUAAUGUGUGUGAUUGCAAAAAAUACUUAAAAUCAAUGUCUAUUUCUUUUUUGCUUAAUCUAAUUUGAUUUAGAGUAAAUGUUUUUGAAUAUUUGUAAUUCAAUAUGUGAGAUUGGUGUGAUUCAAUAUGUGUGAUUGGUGUGAUCGAAUGUAUGUGAUUGGUGUGAUCGAUUGAAUGUAUGUGAUUGGUGUGAUCGAUUGAAU